GAUGAAGAACGUAGCGAAAUGCGAUACUUGGUGUGAAUUGCAGAAUCCCGCGAAUCAUCGAGUUUUUGAACGCAAGUUGCGCCCGAAGCCAUUCGGCCGAGGGCACGUCUGCCGGGGUGUCACGCAUCGUUGCCCCCCCAAACUCCGGUUCGGGCGGGGCGGAAGUUGGCCUCCCGUGCGUGCCUGCGCGCGCGGUUAGCCCAAAAGCGAGUCCUCGGCGAUGAGCGCCACGACAAUCGGUGGUUUUUUUACCCUCGUUCCUCGUCGUGCGUGCCCCGUCGCCCGAACGCGCUCUUGCAACCCUUACGCGUCGCCUCGGUGGCGCUCCCAACGCGACCCCAGGUCAGGCGGGACUACCCGCUGAGUUUAAGCAUAUCAAUAAGCGGAGA
rnacentral:misc_RNA from 1 species